GACGAACCGUGCGGACGUUGUUCGGAAUCACUGGGCGUAAAGCGCACGUAGGCGGAUUUGUCAGUCAGGGGUGAAAUCCCGGGGCUCAACCUCGGAACUGCCUUUGAUACAGCAAGUCUUGAGUUCGAGAGAGGUGGGUGGAAUUCCUAGUGUAGAGGUGAAAUUCGUAGAUAUUAGGAAGAACACCGGUGGCGAAGGCGGCCCACUGGCUCGAUACUGACGCUGAGGUGCGAAAGCGUGGGGAGCAAACAGG
rnacentral:rRNA from 1 species